GUAAAACGUAAAGGACAAGUAAUACACAUAAUAGGUAUAAAGAGUUAGCAAUACUGAUCUAUAAUUAUUCUUUUAUAAAAGGAUAAUUAAUAAAUAUAUAUAUAUUUAUACCUAAGGGAGAUCUAGAAUUUAUAAAUGAGUUAUUAUGAGGUAUAUGAGUAGCGGUUAAAUGUGUAAAUACAUAUAUAACAAUCAAUUAAGAAGUGAUAUAACUAAUAUAUAAAUUGACGUUGAGUAACGAAACUUAGAGUAUCGAAUAGGAUUAGUCAACCUAUUAGUUCUAAGCGUAAACGAUGUAUACUAAUAUUUGUAUAAAUAAUAAUAUAAAAUAUUAUAAAAUAUGGAUAUAAAGCUAAUGCGUAAGUAUAUCACCAGGGGAGUACUGACUAAUCGUAGAAACCCAAAACAAUAGACGGUUUAAGUGUUAACAGUGGAUUAUGUUAUUUAAU
rnacentral:rRNA from 1 species